GAUGAACGCUGGCGGCGUGCCUAAUACAUGCAAGUCGAGCGAACGGACGAGUAUCUUGCUUCUCUGAUGUUAGCGGCGGACGGGUGAGUAACACGUGGAUAACCUACCUAUCAGACUAGGAUAACUUCGUGAAACCGGAGCUAAUACCGGAUAAUAUUUUGAACCGCAUGGUUCAAAAGUGAAAGACGGUCUUGCUGUCACUUAUAUAUGGUUCCGCGCUGCAUUAGCUAGUUGGUAAGGUAACGGCUUACCAAGGCAACGAUGCUUAGCCGACCUGAGAGGGUGAUCCGCCAGCUGGGAAGUGAGACACGGUACAGACUCCGACGGGAGGCAGCAGUAGGGAAUCUUACGCAAUGGGCGAAAGCCUGACGGAGCAAAGCCGCGUGAGGGAUGAAGGUGUCAGGAUCGGAAAACUCUGUUAGUAGGGAAGUACAAAUGUGUAUGUGACUGUGAAGAUAAUGACGGUACCGAAACAGAAAGCCACGGCUAACUACGUG
rnacentral:rRNA from 1 species